rnacentral:rRNA from 1 species
GACGAACGCUGGCGGCGUGCUUAACACAUGCAAGUCGAACGGAAAGGCCCUGCUUGCAGGGUGCUCGAGUGGCGAACGGGUGAGUAACACGUGGGUGAUCUGCCCCUUACUUUGGGAUAAGCCUGGGAAACUGGGUCUAAUACUGGAUAGGACCAUGCUGUAGGUGGUGUGGUGGAAAGAUUAGUUUCGGUAAGGGAUGAGCUCGCGGCCUAUCAGCUUGUUGGUGGGGUAAUGGCCUGCCAAGGCGUCGACGGGUAGCCGGCCUGAGAGGGUGGACGGCCACAUUGGGACUGAGAUACGACCCAGACUCCUACGGGAGGCAGCAGUGGGGAAUAUUGCACAAUGGGCGCAAGCCUGAUGCAGCGACGCCGCGUGGGGGAUGACGGCCUUCGGGUUGUAAACUCCUUUCAGCCAUGACGAAGCCCUUGUGGUGACGGUAGUGGUAGAAGAAGCACCGGCUAACUACGUG